GAUGAACGCUGGCGGCGUGCCUAAUACAUGCAAGUCGAGCGAACAGACGAGGAGCUUGCUCCUCUGACGUUAGCGGCGGACGGAUGAGUAACACGUGGAUAACCUACCUAUAAGACUGGGAUAACUUCGGGAAACCGGAGCUAAUACCGGAUAAUAUAUUGAACCGCAUGGUUCAAUAGUGAAAGACGGUUUUGCUGUCACUUAUAGAUGGAUCCGCGCCGCAUUAGCUAGUUGGUAAGGUAACGGCUUACCAAGGCGACGAUGCGUAGCCGACCUGAGAGGGUGAUCGGCCACACUGGAACUGAGACACGGUCCAGACUCCUACGGGAGGCAGCAGUAGGGAAUCUUCCGCAAAGGGCGAAAGCCUGACGGAGCAACGCCGCGUGAGUGAUGAAGGUCUUCGGAUCGUAAAACUCUGUUAUUAGGGAAGAACAAAUGUGUAAGUAACUAUGCACGUCUUGACGGUACCUAAUCAGAAAGCCACGGCUAACUACGUG
rnacentral:rRNA from 1 species